rnacentral:lncRNA from 1 species
UUGGAUAAGUCACUUAGCUUGCCUUGGCCUCUCUUUGCUCAUCAUUAAAAUGAGGAUGAUACUACUUAAACUCAUUUGACCCACACAAUAAGUUAGGGAGGUUCCUAGGAAAGAGCAUUGCAAAAGUUCUACUCAUUCUUUCCUGUGUGACUCACUGAUUAUGCCAUAUUGGUCCCCUGUAAAUGCGGGUUUCUUUGUAUGAGACCCUCAUCAUUAAGUAGAGUGAAUUCUCAGAAUCUGACGGCAAUCAAUGUGGCCAUCAGACCAGCAGCAUCAAUAUUAACUGGAAAGCUGUUAGAAAUGUAAAUUAUCAGGCCUUACCCCAGACCUAUUACAUCAGAAAUAGUGGGGUAGGCCCAAUAAACUGUUUUAACAAGCUCUCCGAGUGAUUCUGAUUCAGUCUAAAAUUUGAUUGUCUAAUUUCCUUCUAAUAAUUCUAUUCAUCUAUACUAAUAUAGUUCUCUGUUUAUUUAGCUGCUCCCUUGAGAUUGGAAACUUUCUGAGAGAAGGGAUAUGUCCCAAAUGUCUACCACCAGCACUCACUAAAAUCCUGAUGAAGGAUUAUUGUAAGAAAUACCUCUUAUUGAAGAUCUGUUUGUCUGCAUUAUAAACAGAGGCCUCCCUUUGAGAGUUCAUCUGCAAUAUCACCUUCUGAAAUGAGACACAGCUAUUUAACAGAACUGACCUAUUUGCAGGACUAAGACUGAUUUGAGAAGAUAUGGGCUGCUUGUUCCAAUCUGUGUUGUCCUUCCCAUAUUGCCAAUCUCACAUCUCUUAUCUGAAUCUCUCUAAAGCUAGUCACUUGGGCUUUAAUAUGUGAAACUUUCUAAAAAUAAAGUUUUAAAUGGGGGACUAAUAAAAACCAAAAAUAUUUUACCCCAAAAUAUACUUUUUUGACAUAUUUUGGGAUGGCUGUUCAGAGGGCCUGCAGACAGGAAUAGCCCUGAAAAGCUUUCUUUUGUGGAGUAGAUUUGCAUCUGUAGAGAAAAAUCUACAUUAGUGAAAUAAACAGCCAGACUUUUUCUGAGGUCCUCCCCUUUAUCCAGAUCUGGUAAUGAUUAACUCGACCACAGGCUGCCACUUAUUUUUUCUGAGAGCUGCUACCUGUGAGUCUUCAUCUACAUAACAAGGCUGCCUUUACUCCUUGCCUUUCUUUCUCUCUCCCUCCCUUAGCUUGUCUCCCCAUGCUCCAAUCCCCUAUUCUUCUGUAACCUCAAGAUGGUAUAAUAGAGACAACCAUCUGGCCCUUUCUUUGAGCUUUCAUAUUUUACAUGUUUCUCGUGUACAUAUGUGCAUGUUAAUACAUUUUGUAAGUCUUUUCUCCUAUUAAUCUUCCUUUUGUCAGUUGAUUUUCAGUGAACAUUCAGAGAGUGAAGGGGAAGGUUUCUUUUGGCCACUACAACAUCGACAUUUUUUUAUCCUCCAGUUUGACAAAAACUAAAACCUUUAUAACAAACUGUGGUAGCAAGCUUGUGGAAAACACUCUCAUUCAGUGUUGUUAGGAGUUAAGUUUGUUAGAACUCUACAUAAGGCAAUUUGUCAAUAUCUGUCAAAAUUAAAAAUGAAUAUAGCAAUUGACUAAGCAAUUCCAAGUAUUCAUGCAGAAUGUUUCUAAGAGUAAAAUAUUGAAAAUAGUCCACAUGUCUUUUAUAAGGACUGUUUAAAUGAAUUAAAGCACAUUUAAUCAAUUAAAUGCACUGUAAAUGUCACCCCCUAAAAAACGUUUUGUGCACUAAUAUGCAUUUAUGUUCAAAAGAAAUACACACACAGACACAUAGGAUUAAUGUGCUACUCAGGGAGGGGAAAUAGAUGGCUGAGAAGCUGAGCUGGGAGAAAACCUUUUCACAGCCUUUCCUGAAAGUAUGUUUGAGAGGAGACACAGGAACAUCUGGAAAUGGGGGAUAUGGAGCAGAAAAAAAAGCAUAUUUUAUCCCAUAUGCCCACUCUGAGUAUUCACAUCAUGCAUUUGUAAUGGAGUUGAAGUACCUGAAGUGUCUCCAACUUGGAGACAAGAAACCUAGGGCGGGUUUGAUGGCUGAUAAUUGAUAACCUCUCAUAAAGAAAUGUAGAUUUUCUCCUUUCCAUUUUAAAUAAUAGGAUUACAAGUAAUAGAUAGAGGCUACAAGACAAUAAAAUGAUUGUUCAAUAUAAAGAAGGAUUUCUAAUCCUUAGAGCUCUUCAAAGAUGUGAUACGGUGACUUAGAAUGUGGAGUUGCCCAUUACUGGGACUGUCAAGCCAAGAUUAAGCAAUGGGCAUGUUAUAAAGGAAAUAAAAGCUUCAGUUGAAAUACUGAACUAGACUAGCAAUUCCCAAUAUUUUCUACACUUAUGGAAGAUGACAUUCACAUGUGUAAUACAUUCCAAGAGGCAUAACCAGACCUAUGUGUAAUUGUCUGGCAGGAAUCUACCUUUUUUUUUUUCUUUCACUAAGAAUAGCAUAUCAGAAGCUAGAUGUCAAGGAGAGUAACAUUAUUAAGGGGAUAACCGUGAAUUAUUUCCAUUGAAAGAUAUAGAUAAAAUAGGCAUAGAAAUACACAUAGAAGUGUACCAUAGAUGCAGCUAUCAUAGAAAUAGACUGGCAGGAAAUCUUGGUUAUUUAACUAGUAUUGCUAACAAUUUACCUGUGACAUAAUUAAUUACAAAAACUAGGAUAUCUAAAAACUAUAGGCAAAAAUACCAAAACUGAUCUUAUACCUUGCUACUACUCAAAAUGUCCUCCACAGACCAGCAGGAGAGGCCUUACCUGGGAGCUUGUUAGACCUGCAGAAUCUCAGCAUCCACUCCAGACCUGCUGUGUCAGAAUCUACAUUUUAACAAGAUCUCCAAAUGAUUCAUAAGCAUAUCAAAGUUUGAGAAGCACUGGCCUAGAUAAAUGUUGAAUUCCUUCUAGAUGGAAAUGUAGGUAAAAAUGACAGGACCAGAUAUGAUGUCAGCAUCUGUAAUAAAGCCUAACCAUAUAUUCCUGCUUCCAUGCCUCCACAAUUUUGGAUGACCUUUCAUCCUUUAAGUAUAGCUAUACCAAAAGAGGCAAGCUAUUUUCUGGAGAGCAGUUGCUACUCAGCGUUCAGUUGCUGAUAGAUUGUUUCCACACAAAAUUGCAAUUCAUAACUCAGGAUCUGCUCUAACUUUCAAGAUUCCAAGCAUUAGUUGUGACAGUUUUGAUUUUGAGUUUUUAUGUUCAUACCCAUUCUCAUCCCUGUAACUUUUGGCAUAUACCUAAAGAUCUAUUGAGAAAAGAAAUUAUAAAAAUAAAGUGGUACUAUAAUCUGAAAGAUAACAGUGCUUUGAAACUUUUCAUUACGUUGUCAAAAAAAGAACAAGGAAAAUGGUGCUUUUAACUGUUCAAUACUUUAUAGUGGCUUUCUAAUACAUCACCCCAUGUCUGUAGUGUGAUACCCAGUCUCAUUUUGCAGCAAUGCAUUACUUAUGCGUGCAUAUCAUGCUAAUGAUUUUCAUCUUGUCAUUGGAAACUAAUCUGGAAAUGACUUUUCUACAGGUUCUUUGAUAAACAAUAAGAGGAAAUUUUUUCUUUGUGGAAAGAUUGUGUCACUAAUGCAAGAAGCCUACUGAAAAGUAAUAAACCUCAUGAUAU